rnacentral:lncRNA from 1 species
UCCCGAUACCGUCCCUGAAGGAAAAUGAACCGCGGAAUAGACCAACGGACUUGAUACGCCAUGAUAACUAUUGGCAGACCGUGGCUUCCAAGGUGCUAGUGAGCAUGAGCAACGUUCAAACACAGCCUCCCAAAUCCUGACAGGGAUUCGAAUCGGAAGUGGCCCAGAGCGGCCAUUUCGCUUCUGUUGUCAACUCUUCUAACCUGUGAAUCGCCUGUGGGAUGCUGAGGAUUUCCAGUGUCCCUCCAGAGCCCCUGGGUCAGGCCACAUCACGGAGACUGCAGGAUCUCCCUACACAGCUCAGGUCGACUCUUCCUAGCAGCUCUGAUUGGAGCCUUCUGAUGCCCACCCAGCUGCAGGCUCCUGGAAAGAGUGGUGUUGUCAGCAAGAGAGACCAAGAAUUGAAGCCCAGAAGGGACAUGCUUGCUGACAUGAAUUUGCCCCAGAGGCCCCAGGUCUUGGGUUUAGAGGAGCAGGACGUAUCGUGUGAGGCACUGUGUCUUAUAGAGGAAACUGAACUGACCGAUGCAGGAGGAUGUGUAGGAGAAGAGGGUUGGUCCUGGGGCAAAGGAAGAAGAAACCAUAGCUCCAGCCACAGGCCAGGAAAUACUCACUCCUUCCUGCUCAGCACAGGCAUCCUUCACCCACAUGUUCAUCCUCCAUCCACUGCUGGGUCUUUGCAUUGUUUCAGCUGAUCCCCACCUGACUCCUCCUCACUGGAGAUUGGCUGGUUUCUCCUCUGUCCUCAGAAUUUACAGUCACAGAGCAAGAACUAGCUUUUAAGGACCGUGUGGUUUUUCCUCUUUUAAAAGAUGAAUAAAAGUGCUCAGGAAUAAUGUAGACA